AAAGCAGACCGCCUUAUCGUCCCGAAGUAUCGGGGAGGAAAGUCCGGACACCAAAGAGUAGCAUAGCGGGUAACACCCGUCGGCAGGAGUUAAAGCAAUUUGGCUCUUGCAAGGACAAGUGCAACAGAAAGUAUGUACAGGUAAGGCUGUAGUGAAACCAGGUAAACUCUAUGCGGUGAAAUUCCAAGUAUAUCGGCUCUCGUUUUGCGAGAUAAGGGUUACUCGCCCGACGCCGAAGGGUAGGAAGAUGGAUCCCGUUAGUAAUGGCGGGACUAGAUAAAUGAUAAGGUAUUUUAAAUUUGCGUAGCAGGUUUAAAAGAACAGAAUCCGGCUUACAGGUCUGCUUUUUUU
rnacentral:RNase_P_RNA from 1 species